rfam:Candidatus Omnitrophica bacterium CG1_02_44_16 cg1_0.2_scaffold_206_c, whole genome shotgun sequence.
UGAGGUGCCUAUACUGAGGAGGAAACACCCGUUCCCAUUCCGAAUACGGUAGUUAAGCUCCUCGAGGUCAAUGGUACUUGGCUCGCAAGGGCCUGGGAGAGUAGAACGGCGCCUCUU